rnacentral:lncRNA from 1 species
AUCUCUGCACGUUCUCUUCCGGCCGGAGUCAGUGGCGGGGUUCUCGCCGGUCCUGCGGGUCGCUGCUUGGCUGUGGGUUAGCAGCACCCUGAGCGGAGCGGAAGAGCUGCCCGCCGCCGCGUAACCCCGAGGCCGAGACUCCUGGCCUGGCCUCCUUGGGCCCACGACGCCUGCCCCGCGGAGCGGACCCAUGGGCCUGAGGUUUGUGUGCGGGGCCUCAGGCGAGCGCUGGCGCAGCCUGUCCCCCAUCGUCUGCGCCCUGCGGGCCUGGCCCUCCCCGUGGAAGGACCGCGGGCUUCGGGGCCCCACGCUGGGGGGCUGACUCCUGCCACACACACAGCGGUGGCCGCGGGCCUGGGGCGGCAGCACAGCCAUUCUGCUCGGGCUGCGUGAGCUGACCCCGCUCUCUGUGCACCUACUUUUGCUGCGUUUGGUGCUGAGCCUGAAGUCCCAGGACAGGCGGCUGAGGGGGAAAGAUGGUGUGAAUUGGGUGGGCAGAGACAACUGAAAGCCACAGGACCCGGUUGGCACCUUUUUGGCCGCCUGCGCCUUUGCCUGCAGCCCCGCUCCCUGGGUCACCCGAAGGAGGAGCUGGCGCUCUUUCCGGGCGCAGAAGCACCCGACCCACGCUGGAGGAAACGGUCCCUCUGGGCAGGAGAAGCUUUGGGCCUGGCUGGAGCACACUCACGGAACCACGCCAACGCCUGGCCUGUAGCCAGCUCCCACCUCCCCUCCCACCUUCUAAAAUGCUUGCGGAUCUCACGUGGCCGACCCUAACCAGAUACACAUGGGGAAAGGAAUCAGGUGGCACACAUACCGCCUUUACUCCAUAGAGAACUUCCAAUUGUGGGUAAGAACAAAGCCCCACCUCUUCCUAAUAGAUGCAGUUUUCCACCUGCAGCCAAAAAGACAACCUGUUAUUAGCUUUUUUCCCAGAGGACAGGCAUCUCUAUGAAACUGCCAUUGCAAAAUUUGCCGACAGUGAGAUAACCAGCUCCAUUUUGCUUCUAACCUCCAUGCCCUCCUUGUUUACUGCUGCACGCAGGUUGAACUGUGGGAGGAACUUAGUUUAAAACAAAGAUGAUAACAGCCCUUUCCCAAAGGAAACCUUUCCUGGGGAUUAGCCUGCUUUUGUGGGACCAACAGAUUAGCCACAAGAUUAGAAACUACGGUUGAAGAGUCACGCAGCGGGAGGCUACAGGAUUCUGACCCUCCCCAAACUGCUCCUGGCGAUAACAUCACCAUCGUAAAGCCUAAGAUCAGCACUUGGUGGGUCACCUGGCACCACCCAGGCUCAUCUGAUGUUGUGGCACCCAGGAACUGACUCAGUGCGAAAACAGCUUCGACUCCCUGUGAUUUCAUCUCUGACCUGACCAAUGGGUACUUCUGACUCACUGGCUGCCCCCCACCCACCAGCUUAUCUUUAAAAACUCCAAACCCCAGAUGCUCAGGGAGACCGAGUAAUAAUAAAACUCCAGUCUCCCACACAGCUAGCUCUGCGUGAAUUACCUUUUCUCUGUUGCAAAUGCCCUUUCUUGAUAAAUUGGCUGUCUAGGUAACAGGGAAGGUGAACCCACUGGGCAGUUACACUUUUAUCCACCCUUCCAGCUGGAUCACGCGCCCUCUUCAAUGACAUGACACGCAGCUAGAGUGUAUGAGCUUGCUGCCGGCACCUUCCGUCCUGGAUCGCAUAGCAAGGCCUCAAUGGACAGCCAGGUGCCUGGUCCGGUCCCACUUUUUUUUCUGUCCUGUUCUCGUUUCCUCUUUGCUUGGCCAAAGAGGGUUGGGCCAGGGUCCUGAGUGCAAAGGCUUGGCUUGGUGAAUUAAAGUGGCAGUAGCCGUGUGGCAGAGAAAAUUUGUAGAUGGGUGAAAUCCUGGGCCUACACAGUGACAAAGUGUAUAUAGACAGCCAGCCUAGUUGGUGGAUGUGACAACCCCAGACUCUUCUAGAUUUGUGGAUCCGUGCACCUGCCAGACCUGUCUCUGAGCCAUCUGGGGAGGCUGGGUAAGAUUUCCCCCGUCAGGGCCUGAGCCUCAUCUCCAAGCUGCUGGCUUCAGCCCAGCUGCCACCAGCGCUGUCUCUGUCUUGCGCUUUCCAGAGAGAGACUGACUCAUUUUGAGCUCCAGGCCUACCAGGCAGCCCAACCGCGGCAGUAACUGCCUCUCACACUGAGGAUGGCUCAUGCUCUGGUCCAGCCAUGGCUUGAACACCUCCCAACAAGAACAAAGCCAGACUCAUUCUCCCUAGCAUCUUCUUCCUUGCUCAAAGAUCCCACACCCCGUUAGAAGCUGGAACUGGGUCCUUGUCACCUUCCUCACCUCCCCAGUCGUAGUCUGGUUAAUCCUUACAUCUCACCACGGUCACCGUGGCUAGAUGUGACCUCCGCGAUGCUUCAGGCACGUACCAGGGCAGCCUGGGCAGGGCUGGUCACUGUGAUCUCAUGAGGUGUGAACUUGACCCCGGCCUUCUUUCCUGGGAUGCCGGCUAAGGACACAAGUUCAGUGUUUGCCCUGGCUUGUAGCCCAGCGGGGGCUCCGUCAUCCCCUGGGGAAUGCCUCGGCCUGCAAGACCGCAUACCGCAUUGGAACAGGGAAACCACCUACUUCAGCACCUCCCUCAGCAAGGUGGCAGGUCCCAACAAGCCUUGCACCACGAGGAAGUGGCAGUGGCAUUCGGGAUAUGGCUCCCUGGCCAGCUUGUGAAGUUCAAGGGGCUCGUUACUUCUUACAGCUCACAGUCCCUCCCGGGUCCAGCACACCUGAGGGCUGACCUCCCUCUUGAUUAGUGCAGGGGAAAAGCACUUUAAAAAGCUGUGUCAUGCGUAACUUGCACAUCUUCUGAUUCUGACCUGAAACUGCAUCCCAGGUCGGCACAGACGCAACCCAGUCUCCUCCCACCUCCGAGAGUGCAGUGUCCUGAAUGGAGAACCCCAGCACCCAGAAGCAUCCACUGAAGGACGUAAGUAGGACAAGGCCAACUGUGGCUGUUCCAGCAGAGGGACUGUGGGUGAUGUUUCCCUUCUCUGAUUUCUAAAAUAUCUGCAAACUUGUUUCAUUUAUAAUUGAAAAUAUAAUUUGCAUAACAACAGUAAAUUCUACACAUGAAGGCAAA